rnacentral:lncRNA from 1 species
CAUAGGUUGUAUUUUUUUAUGUAUUCACAUAAGAUAUUUUCAAGCACAUUGUCCAAUCUGCAAACUUAAUUAUUUUUAUCCUUAUGUCGAAUGACAACGUUUUGCCCUUUCCUGUGUCAUAAAUAUUAAAUAUUUGUGACACAGAAUACAGAUAUUGAUGUCUGUCUUCUUUAAUGUCAUUAAUGCUUUAUCUACUGUUUUCUUUUUGUGCAUGACCUAAUUUCUUUUCAUAUCCACAUUUUUUUAGGUCUGUUUGUCAGGCGUCAAGUCAGGUUAUCUUGCUACUGGUACCAUGUAGUACAUCCUGCUUAAGCAAGUUGUAUGCCAUCCAUACGACGUUUGGGCAUCUGUUUGUAAAAUAUUGCUGCAAAUCUUUUUGAGAGAGCCAUUACUAUCGAGAACCAUCUAAACCAUACAAGUGUGGAAACAUGGAUCAGAACAUACCUGGCCCGCAUUUGAUACUGAAAAACGUUCUUCUUGGACCAAAUGCUGGCUGGGUAAUUUGGACUUGUAAAUGAACUUAUAUUCAUAAUUUUUAAACUGCUUAUGAUCUGAUCUGAUUUUAUUUUUGUCAUUUGUUUAUUUAGAUUAAUGUGAAAUAAACUGAUGAGUUUAACUUAGCUGGUAAAAAAAAGAGUUUUUGUGAAACAAAUUUAUUGAAGACAAUUAUAGAAUGAAGUUCAUUUAUUUGCUGGCAGCAUUUUUAAACGUGGUCCAGAUCGAAAAAAUUUGGUGCUAGAUUUUGUCGAUAGUGGAAGUGAUAGAU